rnacentral:rRNA from 1 species
CGUAGGUGGCAAGCGUUGUCCGGAAUUAUUGGGCGUAAAGCGCGCGCAGGCGGUCCUUUAAGUCUGAUGUGAAAGCCCACGGCUCAACCGUGGAGGGUCAUUGGAAACUGGGGGACUUGAGUACAGAAGAGAAGAGUGGAAUUCCACGUGUAGCGGUGAAAUGCGUAGAGAUGUGGAGGAACACCAGUGGCGAAGGCGACUCUUUGGUCUGUAACUGACGCUGAGGCGCGAAAGCGUGGGGAGCAAACAGG